rnacentral:rRNA from 1 species
CAGUAGGGAAUCUUCCACAAUGGGCGAAAGCCUGAUGGAGCAACGCCGCGUGGGUGAAGAAGGUCUUCGGAUCGUAAAACCCUGUUGUUAGAGAAGAAAGUGCGUGAGAGUAACUGUUCACGUUUCGACGGUAUCUAACCAGAAAGCCACGGCUAACUACGUGCCAGCAGCCGCGGUAAUACGUAGGUGGCAAGCGUUAUCCGGAUUUAUUGGGCGUAAAGGGAACGCAGGCGGUCUUUUAAGUCUGAUGUGAAAGCCUUCGGCUUAACCGGAGUAGUGCAUUGGAAACUGGGAGACUUGAGUGCAGAAGAGGAGAGUGGAACUCCAUGUGUAGCGGUGAAAUGCGUAGAUAUAUGGAAGAACACCAGUGGCGAAAGCGGCUCUCUGGUCUGUAACUGACGCUGAGGUUCGAAAGCGUGGGUAGCAAACAGGAUUAGAUACCCUGGUAGUCCACGCCGUAAACGAUGAAUGCUAAGUGUUGGAGGGUUUCCGCCCUUCA